rnacentral:tRNA from 2 species
GGGCCCGUAGCCUAGCAUGGAUAGGGCGCUGGCCUUCGGAGCCAGAGGUCCCGGGUUCAAAUCCCGGCGGGCCCA